GGGGCCUCGCGAGGUCUUCCCUGGUGUGAACCUGCUGCAGUACACCAGCGGCACGCCGGUCCUGGGGCACAUCCGACCAGGUCCUGGGGCCACAUCCGACCAGGUCCUGGGGCCACAUCCGACCAGGUCCUGGGGCCACAUCCGACCAGGUCCUGGGGGCACAUCCGACCUGGUCGUGGGGGCACAUCCGACCUGGUCCUGGGGCCACAUCCGCCCGUCUUGGGCCACAUCUGACCAGGUCUUGGGGCACAUCUGACCAGGUCUUGGGGCACAUCUGACCAGAUUUUGGGGCACAUCCGCCCGUCCUGG